UACGUAGGGCGCAAGCGUUGUCCGGAAUUAUUGGGCGUAAAGAGCUCGUAGGCGGUCUGUCGCGUCUGCUGUGAAAACGCGGGGCUCAACCCCGCGCCUGCAGUGGGUACGGGCAGACUAGAGUGCGGUAGGGGAGACUGGAAUUUCUGGUGUAGCGGUGGAAUGCGCAGAUAUCAGGAGGAACACCGGUGGCGAAGGCGGGUCUCUGGGCCGUUACUGACGCUGGAGGAGCGGAAAGCAUGGGGAGCGAACAGG
rnacentral:rRNA from 1 species